CCUCUCCUAGGAAGGUGACCCUGACACCCAUACUGCAGCUCCCCAGUGGUUAUGUGGUCCCCUCCUGCCACCAUUUGCCCAGAUGCGCCUCUUGCUUCAGAGACACAGUGACCUGCUGAAGGGCAGAGCCUCUCGGCCUUGAUGUCCACUACACUCUGCAAAGAGCCAUGGGUCUUCACGGAGCUGCAGCUCCAUCUGCCACCUCCAUUCAGGCAAGGCCUGCUGUGGGAGCAGCUCACAGGACAAAAGGAAAUGGAGCCCCAGAAAAGGGAAACAACUGUGACCCAGCCAGUGCCUCCCUGCCAGCAGCAGAACUGACACGCCCAACUCCCAAUUCCACUUUCUAAACAGGCUGGUCCGGGAGUUCGUGGCCCAGAACAACACCGUGCAGAUCAAACAUGUGAUCCAGACCCUGUCUCAGGAGUUUGCCCUGUCUCAGCACCCCCACAGCCGGAAAGGGGGCCUCAUCGGCCUGGCCGCCUGCUCCAUCGCACUGGGCAAGGUGGGCCUUUCUCCCGGAGGGACAGACACACCAGCUGUGGCCUUGACUCUGACCCCCGAGCCCCACCAGGGCGUUGCAGUCCUAUAUUUUAUAUACUGCACACCUCAGACCAGCAAGGCUGGCUCUGUGGCCUUGCUGCCUGGGUCCUAGCCAUGGACCCUAUCCCAGGAGGUGGACUUGCAAAGGGUCUCCUAGCCCAGUCCUCACACAAAGGCCUGAGCAUCUUCAAGGGAGCCAGGGACUGGGGCCCCAGGGUCGGACGCUUAAUGAGCCGCUUGUCCUCCUGUCACAUCACAGGACUCGGGGCUCUACCUGAAGGAGCUGAUCAAUCCCGUGCUGACCUACCUCAGUGAUGCCAACAGCAGGCUGCUGUGCUGCCCCACUUCAACGUGAUCUUUGAUGAGCUGAGCAAGGUGAUCCCUCCUCACCC
rnacentral:lncRNA from 1 species